rnacentral:rRNA from 1 species
AACGAACGCUGGCGGCAGGCCUAACACAUGCAAGUCGAACGCACCGCAAGGUGAGUGGCGCACGGGUGAGUAACACGUGGGAAUGUACCCUUUGGUUCGGAAUAACGUUUGGAAACGAACGCUAAUACCGCAUAAUCUCGCGAGAGUAAAGGUGGCGCCGCAAGGGCUACCGUCUAAGGAUUGGCUCAUGUCCCAUUAGCUAGUUGGCGGGUAAUGGCCCACCAAGGCAACGAUGGGUAUGUGGUCUGAGAGGAUGAUCACACACACUGGAACUGAGACACGGUCCAGACUCCUACGGGAGGCAGCAGUAGGGAAUAUUGCACAAUGGGGGGAAACCCUGAUGCAGCAACGCCGCGUGAGUGAAGAACGGCCCUUGGGUUAGUAAAGCUCUUUAGCGAGGAAGAAGUAGUUACGGU